rnacentral:lncRNA from 1 species
GCGAAUGACCCUCCCCACUGGUGAUAUCAGAGAGCCAGCUCUCUUCCCCUGAGGGCUGGGUGGCUAGUACUGGGCUUCUGCCUCAGUGAUCUUCCUAGUUUACUUCACUUCAACACAUGGAGAAUCCUACCCCUCAACUCUUCCUUCCCACUUCCAAAAUAGUGACUAAUUUCACCCAUUUAUUCACUUAUUUAUUCAUUUGGUGUUCAGUGCUUGAAUCCACCCUUUUUUUGCCUUCUCUGAAACUCUCUCUCCUAUACUUUAGCUUGUUUUUGUUAGCUUCGUCGCAUUCACUUUUAAACAUAUCCAAGUCUCUCCCAUCUUUAGACAAACCUCCCCUUACUGGGCUUUCCAGGUACCACCAUAUAUAUGUCUCUCUCUCUUUCUUCUUCUCUUUUUUUUUUGAGACAGAGUCUUGCACUGUUGCCUGGGCUGGAGUGCGGUGGCACAAUCUCUGCUCACUGCAACCUCCGCUUUCCAGGAGAAUCGCUUGAACCCAGGAGGCGGAGGUUGCAGUGAGCCAAGACCACACCAUUGCACUCCAGCCUGGGCAAUAAGAGUAAGACUCCAUCUGAAAAAAAAAAAAAACAAAAAAACUAUUUUUUUUAUGUUGGCCAGGCAGUCUUGAAUUCCUGGGCUCAAGUGAUCCAGCUGCCCAAAGCACAGGGAUUACAGGCAUAAGUUACUGGGCCUGGCCUAGUUUUUUGUUUGUUUGUUUUGUUGUUGUUAAUGUAACAACAGCCAUUUUAUUAUAGUUUAACAAUUGUAUAGGUAUGGAGCAGAAAUUUGGGUAGGCCUUAGGUGGGUGAUUCUUCUAUCUCAUGUGGCCUUGAGACCCUACCAAGGGUUACUUAAGAGUUUUCAGUGGGCAGAUGGGCUGGUCUGGAAGGCUUCACUCACAAGUCUGGCACCUUGGUAAGGAUGACUGGAAUGCUGGGAUUAGCUGGAGUUGUCAGACAGAAUAUCUACAUGAGACCUCUCUAGCAUGGCAGCUCAAAGUGGUAGGAUUUCUUACAUGGCAGCUCAAAGCUACCAGUGUGCUAGAUAGCCUGCAACUGAAGCUGCAAAACUUCUUAUGGCCUAGCUUCAAAAGGCCCAGAACCUCCAUAGAAUUUUCUGAGAUCAAAUAUAAAGUGCUUAAAACAGUGCCUAGCUCAUAAGUACUAUUAGAUAUUAAUUAUUCUUAAAAUAAUAUAAAGAUGAAUAAGAAGCGUCCCUUUCUCAAUAACAGGUAUGUGCUUCCUUGCAUAAUAUAUACUUAUUGCCAAACUCUUAGCCAUCUUGAAUCUCAAUUUUUUUUUUUUUGAGACGAAGUCUUGCUCUAUUGUGCAGGCUGGAGUGUAGAGGCACGAUCUCGGCUCACUGCAACCUCUGCCUCCUGGGUUCAAGUGAUUCUCCUGGCUCAGCCUCCUGAGUAGCUGGGAUGACAGGCGUGCACCACCACACCCAGCUAAUUUUUGUAUUUUCACUAAAGAAGGGGUUUCACCACGUUGGCCAGGCUGGUCCCAAACUCCUGACCUCAAGUCAUCUGCUCGCCUCGGCCUCCCAACGUGCUGGGGUUACAGGCGUGAGCCACCGCGCCCGGCCUUACUUCUCAAUUUCAUCUUUUC